AUUGAACGCUGGCGGCAGGCUUAACACAUGCAAGUCGAGCGGGGUGAUGGUGCUUGCACUAUCACUUAGCGGCGGACGGGUGAGUAAUGCUUAGGAAUCUGCCUAUUAGUGGGGGACAACAUCUCGAAAGGGAUGCUAAUACCGCAUACGUCCUACGGGAGAAAGCAGGGGAUCACUUGUGACCUUGCGCUAAUAGAUGAGCCUAAGUCGGAUUAGCUAGUUGGUGGGGUAAAGGCCUACCAAGGCGACGAUCUGUAGCGGGUCUGAGAGGAUGAUACGCGACACUGUGGGUGAGACUCGGAGCAGACUGCUACGGGGGGCAGCAGUGGGGAAGAUUGGACAAUGGGGGAGACCCUUAUCCAGCCAUGCCGCGUGUGUGAAGAAGGCCUUAUGGUUGUAAAGCACUGUAAGCGAGGAGGAGGCUCUUGUGGUUAAUACCCAAGAUGAGUGGACGUUACUCGCAGAAUAAGCACCGGCUAACUCUGUGCCAGCAGCCGCAGUAA
rnacentral:rRNA from 1 species